GAUGAACGCUGGCGGCGUGCUUAACACAUGCAAGUCGAACGGGAAACCUUUUAUUGAAGCUUCGGCAGAUUUAGCUGGUUUCUAGUGGCGGACGGGUGAGUAACGCGUGGGUAACCUGCCUUAUACAGGGGGAUAACAACCAGAAAUGGUUGCUAAUACCGCAUAAGCGCCCAGGACCGCAUGGUCCGGUGUGAAAAACUCCGGUGGUAUAAGAUGGACCCGCGUUGGAUUAGCUAGUUGGCAGGGUAACGGCCUACCAAGGCGACGAUCCAUAGCCGGCCUGAGAGGGUGAACGGCCACAUUGGGACUGAGACACGGCCCAGACUCCUACGGGAGGCAGCAGUGGGGAAUAUUGCACAAUGGGGGAAACCCUGAUGCAGCGACGCCGCGUGAAGGAAGAAGUAUCUCGGUAUGUAAACUUCUAUCAGCAGGGAAGAUAGUGACGGUACCUGACUAAGAAGCCCCGGCUAACUACGUG
rnacentral:rRNA from 1 species